UACAUACAUACAAUAUAAUAAAAACAGAACAAAGAACUAAAGAAAACAACAAUUAGCUAAAGAAAACAGCAACUUAACAAUCCCAUAGCGAAAUUUGUAACAAAAAGUUAAAAAAACGUGCGAGAAAAACUAACUAAUCGAAUCCGAAUAGCCUGUUGAAACAAUUUGUAAGUGUGCAAAGAGGGGGAGACCGAAACAAG